rnacentral:lncRNA from 1 species
UAUUUUACAGGGGUAUGGCGCUGUGAAAGGCCAAUCCAAUCAGGGCCUAAAUUCAUAUUUCAGUUAGCCCUUGUGGCACUUUACAUUAGAUGCUACUCCCUCCGAUCCAAAAUAAGUGUUGUGGUUUUAGUUCAAUUUUUUCCUAAAACAACGACACUUAUUUUGUAUCGGAGGGAGUACUACCCUUUUCUAUACCUGAGAGGAUGGUAUUGAUACUCAGGAGGGAGGGAGAGAUUACAAGAUCAGGGUAAUGAGGAUAGUAGUGUGAGGAUUGUGGUUGAAAGUUGAAGGGAUAUGAACAAGGGAAACUACAUGUUAAUUGUAGUGAUUUCUGGAUAUUCUGUCCAAGGUUUUCUUUGCAGAUCAUGCUCCCUUUUUUUUCUUUACAAGAGAACUGGAAUUGUUAAUGACACGAGAACACAGUGGACUAGAUGUCUCUGUGCCUCUCUUUUAUGCUGGGGUAAUGUUUUUGUGCCUUGACAUGCAUUUCGAAUACAAGACACACAGAUAGGCAGUGAAAGCAUUGUUCUGAAGUCAUGUGGGUGUAUUGCAUACAAAAAAUAAAGAAAACUUGGUAGUGAUCCAACAUCUGGUUGGCUAGAGUUCAGAUUGAGUGUUAAAGCUUCAUGCUUCAUGCUUCACAAAAUGUGUUACUCAUGCUGCUACAUUGUUAUUAUUAUUGUUUCUAAUAUAGUUUUGUGGUUUUGUAGUGAUGCCUUGCAUUCGAUAUCAUAUGCUUUACAUCUUGUAAUUAUUUGGAUAAGGCCACAAAGUGACCGUUUGCUCUCCUUUUGCAGGCAAAUAGGGUGCAUUUCUGGGCAUGUGCAGACGACAUUCAUGUUGCUUCGCCUGUUUAAGAUGUUGUCAUUUUCAUCUCCAUCAUUCGGGUCACUUGAAGAGAACAGAAAUAUCGGGUCAUGUUCAGUUACCAGCAUUCCGGACUCGCAGGGAGGUAGCUAAUGUUCCUUUUAAAUGUAGCUAAUGUUAAGGAGAACAAUGGUUCCCAGGGGCACAAGUGAAAUGACACUGCCGGGAAGGCAGGUGCACCAACCGUGGCUUCACGGAAUUGAACAAUCCCCGGCAUGAGCUGAUCCAUGGAGGUUGGCUCUCAUGUCUCAUCGGCACCAUAGCGACUUUGUGAGUGGCAAUUAAUUGAUAAGAGUACGUGUGCUAGAAUAGCAUAGUCCGUGUUGACCUACGCUCAGCUGAAUCGUUGAUUCGUGGAUAAGUGUACGCUCACACAGAGUACAUAUCAGUUUUUAAGCCGCCUAUCCAUCAUUGAUAUCCAGGAAUCGUGCGUGCCAUACGCGUAGAUGGUGGUUGGCGGAGGGCUACCAUACGACAAACUGCACAACUAGAUCAGGUUUUUUCUGCCAAGAGCUACUCAGAUGUUCAAACACGACGAAAUUUGGCAUGGAGUAUUUGUUUUUGAAUUUGCUCUUCACCGGGAGCAGACGAGCCUGG